AGGGCGGGGAAGGAGCGGAAAAAGUCGGACCGGCUGGUGCUGGAUUGCCAGGAGAAAGCGUAUUGGUUGGUUCAUCGGCCACCGCCUGGGAUGAUGGACAUGCUGGAUUACGGUAUGGACAGGGCCACUGACCCCAACGUCGUCAAGAAGAAGACGGUGGAUUUCUUCAGGCGUGA